rnacentral:rRNA from 1 species
UACGUAAAAGACUAGUGUUAGUCAUCUUUAUUAGGUUUAAAGGGUACCUAGACGGUAAAUUAAACCCGAUGAGGGGACUUAUUUACUAGAGUUUUAUAAGAGAAGGGGAGAAUUUUUGGAGUAAAGAUAAAAUUUUGUAAUACCAAAAGGACUGGUAACGGCGUAGGCGACCUUCUAUGUAAAAACUGACGCUGAGGCACGAAAGACCAGGGGAGCAAACGGG